ACCCAAGGUCAUUCCCUCUCCUAGGGGUCUGACAGUGUUCCUUCUCAGGAAUGUAGCAACUUGGAAGAUAAUGUGGCAUGCCUUGGGCAUUUAUGGGAGAGAUGCUUUAAUUCCUCUCUGCCCGCCUGCAGCUGCUUACAUGC